UGCUUCCACAUGGUCCAGAUAUGAAGCAUGUAGUUCCCAAAAGAGAAAGAUUUGUGAGGCCUAACUAAAGGUUAUUCCCAGCUAAGCACUUAAUGUGAUGUGUCUAAUGUUUGCCAGCUUAUUACUUAAAUGCUAUACGUAGAUUUGUAUGCUCUGUUACACAUAUAUGAUGCAUACGUACAUUAAGUGUAUGUGGAUGUACAUGGGUGAAUAUAUAUGUAUAGGCAAAUAUAUUGUGCUGACACACAGGCAAAAAUUGUGUAGUUCUCCAUCAGACAUGAAUUUUAUCAAUCCAUUUAGUAAGAACUAUCUACAUUACCGUUUUGAAAAAAAAAAUAUUUUAAAGUACAUAAAUAAUGUGAUACAUAUAUAUAUGUGUAUAAAUAUGGAGAUAUAUAUGUAUGAAUAUUUACAGAUGGCCAUCUCAUCACUUCUAUUAUGUAUCUGUAGGAUUUUCGUGGUUUAAACCCAGCUGGCAACUAAGUACCUCACAGCCACUCUCUAACUCCCCUCUUCACUCUCUGCCUUGGUAGGGUCAGGAAGAGAAUGGAAGAAAGGUUAAAACCUGUGCGUUGAGAUAAGAAUUGUUUAAUAAUUGAAAUAACGUAAAGUAUAUUACUACUAUUACUACUGCUACUGAUAAUUGUAAUGAAAAAGCAUACAACAAAAAGCGAAAGAGGAAUAAAAUGCAAGAAACGCAAGUGUUGCACAAUACAGUUGCUCACCACCCACUGACCAAUGCCCAGUCAGUGUCUGAGUAGUGAAUGACAGUUUCUGGCCAGCUCCCCCCAGGUUAUAUACUGGGCAAUCCUCUCUGUGGUGCAGAAUAUCCCUUUGGCCAGUUUGGGUCAGCUGUCCUUGGCUUGAUCCCUUCCAGCCAUUUGUGCACCUGCUCACCAGCAGAGCCUGGGAAAUUAAAAAAUCAUUAACUUGGGGUAAGCACUGCUUAGCAUCAACUAAAACAUCAGUAUGAUAUCAAUAUUAUUCUCAUACUUAAUCCAAAAUACAUGACUAUAGCAGCUACUAGGAAGAAAAUGAACUCUUCUCACCAAAACCUGGACAAGAAUUAAUCCAUGAAUGUUAAGUGUGUAUGGCCAAGAGAAUUCCUACCAGUGAAUUAUCAACAUCUGAAAGGAACUGAUUUUGUUUCUUCAUGAUUGUGUUAUGCAGGCACCUAACCUGAAUUAAAACUGACAAGUUUGCUUUAAGAAGCUGUAAUCCCCUGAGGGCUUUUCGCUGUAGUUUCUAUUAUGUGGGUAAGGAGAAGCAAGGGUGUUAUUUUGUAGAUAAAGACAGAUCUUACAGAUUAAGUUAGGUAGCUUUCUAGGAUGGUGUUUUUCUUGAGGGCCUACAGUAGGGAGGGUGAAUAAAUGGCAUGUAUCAUAGAAUUUACCCAUUGAUCUUACUGGUCACAGUUCCUUUUUUUUUUUUUUUUUUUUAAGUAUCUGAUGAUCUGAUGGCUUACCACUUUUACAGCAGCAAUAAUAGGAUGUGAGUCCUGGAUCCAAAGACUAUUAAUGCUAGUCACUAGCUUUCAGUAGCCUGACAACAUAGAUAUACCUUGAAUGGGCACAAUUUUUACAGGGCUUUGAAACAGGAGUGUUAAAAUCCUUAGACAUACUUGGAAAGGGAUAACACAUGACUGAUAUCUAGACAACAACAUUUAAUCAUACUGAGGUUUUAUCUCUUAUCUUCAUCGCCUCUAUAGUAAAAAUAAAAACUUGUAAUGAUUUUGUAACUUAAGUCUCUAAGUUUCAGUGGGUAGAACAAAGGGAGAGUAAAUGGGAGAUUGUUAGUCUUUCUCAUGGCCCUUAAGCAAACCACGUAUCUCAACACCUUCUCUGUGAAAUAAAAAACUGUUUAUCUGUACAGAAUACUUUUUUCUCACAAGCCUGCAUUUUAUGGAAAAUGUUCUGACUAGCUGUAGUCUCUGCCUGUGUAUGAACCCCAGUGCUGAAUUGACUCAGAAUUUUGAGUUGCACAGUGGGUCCCAAAUUGGCUGAUAUGAAUGGUAUCUUCUUCUGCUUCAGGGCAGAUUGUUCUAAUGAACCUUUUAUAGGCCCAUCAUCCAAAUAUUGACAGACACACAGGCUCUUUUGCCUGAGGUAGGUUGUUGCUUAUGCCAUCACUCUUGCAAAUAAACAAAAAAGCUUGGCAAAGAUGGGGAGGAGUCUUAAUGUGACACUCAUUUAUAGCUAAGACAAGAACACAGCCUAAUGUUCUCUUUCCAAUUUGAGUCAGUUCCAGCUCAGAUGCAAGAAAAACAUAUCAAAAAGUGUUAAAAAUCUAUAAUGAAUUUAGAUGACAAUCAAAGCCAUCUCAUUCUUUACAAAUUUUAAGAGGCCAGAAUCAUCCCCCACAUCAAUACAUUCUUUUACACUUGCUGUCAUCCUGCCCACUCUAUAUUGCCAACAAUAUGCAGAUUUGUCUCUUCUUUUUGUCCUAGUGAAACUCAUGUUGCUGUUUAGAGCUCCCUUAAGUAUAUGAUUAAUUAGAUAUGCAAUAAUGAUUAUUAAAUAUAGAGUAAAUACUUCAGAAAGAACACAAUCCUGGGAUAAACAAAAUUUGUUAGAGAUUUGUAAGAUGAGUUACUGAAGAAAAUAUCUACUUUCUAAGUGAGGGGAAAUAUAUUUCAAUUAUUGAGCUAGUACUGGAGGAAGAAAUACAUUAUGCUUCCUCCAACUUCUACAAUGUCCCAUUUAACCUGCACAAGAUAUUAUUCUCUUGGGAUAAUUAAGACUGUGAAAUACAGAGACAAAGGAAUGGAGAUAGGAGGAUCUCUUGGCUGACAUGUUCUGAUAGACAAUUUUGUAUCUGCUGCAGAAUUUUGAUCAGGAGAAGCCGUUGAGUUAAAAAUGGUAGUUUUUCCAUCAUAUUUGCUUUGAAAAUGUGAAAGCUAAAAGGAAAUCUUUAUUGAAAAUGGUUAUUUCUUUGUGGAAGAUAAAUUUUCAGAAUAUUCAUAUUGUCCUUACCUAUUUGAAGCAAUUAUAUGCUUAUGCUAUAGGGAAAGUUUGCGGAAAUAGUGGUAUAAUUCUGCAAAAAAUCUUGUAUAUCAAAACAGGGAUACUUAGCAUUUUCCUAGAAUCAGGCCUAUGGACACAGAGGACAUAAUUAGUGAUUUGUAAGAAAUCUAGAGUUUGUGUUUUUUAAUAAUAAACUAAGUUUUCUUGCCUGAAAAAAUUCUGAUAAAUUACUGUGGAUUAGAUAACUCUGUGAACAACUACAGUAUAUUAUUUAAAGAAUGCUUGGUUCAGUUAUUUCAGAAUAUGACUUUUAAAACUGGUAUUAGUAGCACUCUUUAAACAAGUAUGGCAUUUCAGUGGACAGUGUUGCUUUGAAUCCUCAGUUCAGGCAGUGAGUAUGUGGGGUAAUCUCUUCUUUUUACAAAAAGAUCAUGACCUGAGUGGGGUGGAGAGAGUUGCCAAAUUCUAACAACCUUAAAAUCUGAUCCAAAUGUUUUACUAUUCACUGGAAAUUUGUUGUGCGAGGACAAAAUGGGUUUUCAUAGUGUUUAAUGCAUAUAUGUUCACAUUUAUGUGUAUAUAUAUAUAUACACACGCACUUUAUAUAUAUAUAUAUAUAUAUAUAUAUACUUGAGUAAGACCUAGUUGUUCACAGCAGCAGGAAUUUCUACAACCAUUUAGUGCUAAACUGAAGUUUGUGAAAUUUUGCAUAGCUGCAAAAAUACUUAACUGGUCUGGGUCUUUGUACUAGAAAACACUUAGAAAGUCUUCAUCAGCAAAUGCUCUGCAAUGUAGUUGUAUGAAAUCAAAUAGUUACAUGUACAUAUAAAUUAUUUUAGAGCAUUACUUAUGUGUGAGCCUGAUGGGUUUUUUUAUGACUGUGGUGAAGUCUCUGUAGCACUAGGGUUUUUUAUUGCUGACUCUUUUGUUGUUGCUACUUCCUGUACCAUAUCUUUUAUUUUGAAAAGUUAUUAUAUACCUUUAUCUCUCCUUCAGUAUUUAUUUCAUUAAAUACAGCAAGCCUACUCCUUUUAAACGAUUUUGUCUGUUUUGCAUUUGGAUAACAAUGUUAUUUUAAUAUAGUAUGGGAAAACAGGCUUUUGAACUCAUACUUACAUUAUACAUACUUACUCAUACUUACAUUAUGCCAUUAUUUUACCUGGAUUAAUAAAUGGUUUGUUAUGUCUGUGUUGCAAGGGGCACUCCUAAUAUGCAAAAAAUCUGUGGAAUUUUCCAGAUAGAAAUAUAUGCUACUGAUGAUAAAUGUCUAGGAGAGGUAUUGAAAUGAGGUAACAAGGAUAACACACCUCCCCAUUUUGUCCAGAUACCUACUAGUUGCAACCAGUUUGUUUUCUUUCUUUCUACCAGAUGAAAUUUGUGGUAGAAAGUUGGACACCUUGAGUCUGUGGAUGUAUGGUAGGCUAAGUUAAUAUGCACUAUGUUUAGCUCAGGUGUGUAAUUGGCUUCUUGAAGAAUUGCACAAGAUAAGAAAUUUUUCCUUUAAGUCUGGAGAGAAAAGCAUAGUUUUAAAGGAGGGAACAGUAAAUAAUGAUUGCUGCAUACCAUGACCUUUAAUUAUAAUAAUGCAUUUUAAUGUGCAUGUCAUUAUAGCUACAGUUGUUCACCAUGAGGCAGAAUUUUCAUGUAAUCUCUAAAACUAAAAUAUUUCUGUCUCUCCUUUAAUGCUGGGCUUCUGAAGUGUUCUUCAACCUUUUUUUUACAGCUUGAUGUAAAGAACAGAGUUAUUGUCAUAGGCCAUUGCCAAGGGCUGUUUGCUUCCAGCAAUUGCAACUUCAAGCACUGCUGUAAUGGAUGUACCUACACUAUGGCAGGUUAGCCUGGCAUGGUCUGCUUUUAACACAGGCCCCACUCCAAGAAGGCAUUUAAAGGCUGUAAACUUGUAUGGCAUCUGAAAGCCAGAGCAUGUAUGAGGUCCUGGGUGAAGUUUGAAACUCCUGCAUGAUACUCCAGUUAAAAUGUAGUCAUCUUCAGUGGUUAGUCCAGCUGCAGAAUCUUCUAACAUCUGUUUUGAUGGAGCUCAUCGUUACGCAGGGAAACCAGACACGACUGUCCAAGCAGCCUGAUCUGGUUAUGCAAUUAUACUGAUAAGUCUGUUGUCAUCUGUGGUGAAUCCUUCUGGUUUCCAAAAGCACACAUGAAUUUAGCCACAGACAGACACCAUCUAUGAGGAGCAAGGUAGAGUCUGGAUGUACUUUGUCCUCACUCUCCUUUUAAAAGAUGUGACUGCAUCUUAGCAAAAGGUGGAAGGUCACUCCUAAAAUCCAGUGAUCAUCACAUCUGAUACUGAGUUUCUGAGGCAAGUGGAGUCACUGCCUGACUAGUUCCCUGUGCCUCUGUCUGCAGAUUUCCUUGGGGAAAUGGCCAUGGUCAGAAAAUAAGGGAGCAUAUGGCUUUUUCUAAAGCAAGUGGAAUCCUUAGGAAUUGCAGUGCACUUUUAAUGGAGAGUGAUAGAGGCCUAUCGAGAAACUUAUGAAGUAAUCUAUUUUUAAAAAUUGUUAAUAAAAUGUUAAACAGGUGUGCAUCUACUUGAAGCAGGGGUUGAAGACUUUGGGAAUUUACGUGCUAUUAAGAACAGUGUUGGAGAUGUUGUUUUUGGGUUUAUUUCUUUCUUUUUCAACUUAAUAUUUCAAUUUUUUUCCCUCCAUCAUCAUUGAUUAUUUAUAUUAGAGUGGAAUAGACAGAUUUCAGCUGAAUGGGAGCAUUGUGCUGUGUUCCUUGAUGGUUACCUCGGCUCUAAGCAGGAGGGAAGGUGGAAAGGGUAAGAUAGAAGUGUCUCCUCCUCUUUUGAGGAUACCACUAAACUCUACAUGUUGGCUUUUUUAGUACAAAGAAAAUACUCUUUUGCCCAUCUAGUUUAUUUUGCUAAAUGCCAAAGUUAAGAUAAUUAAUCUGGAUUGAGAGUUUAGCCUGUCAGAAAGGAUCCUUUGAUUCCAACUCAUCUCUCCUCAGAGCUUUUCACUGUCUCCCUUGCUUGAAGUUGGAUUUCACUACCUACAUAUGGCAUAAGAAGAAAUUAGACUUUUUUUUUGUUUUAUUUGUUCUAACUGGCAUAUUUUAUUCAAUUUCCAUGGUCAGAUAGAAAGUGUUCAAGCAAUACCAUAUUUUACUGACUGCUGUUUUGUUUACGAAAAUAUCUUUAGAGUCUGCAGUCCAGGGGUUUGACAGCCUUAUUUUAUGGCUUAAUUGUUAGGACUAGGAAGAGACUUGGCAUGAAAUACUGUUUGCUGCUGUCAUAAAUAACUUAUGAAGAGUGAAGCAAAAUCUGGUGAAAGGUUUGUCAGAACCUGGCAGGACAUGCUACUACAAGCAGGGACAUACUAGAUUUUGAGCAAACAACAGGAGUGGGGCAGAAGGCAAAGCCAGCAUUAUAAACACUCUGGAUCAAUGAGAUAUCAGCACAGAAUGAGUCUGCAGCUCCACUAGCAUCCAGUCUGCUUUCACCAUUCCAAUCAUAGCACUGAGGAGAGGAUGGUGACAUGUUCCAGCUUUGCUUUACAAAGCUUUGCCAUCCAACUUACCCAGUGGGUUCCAUCAUUGCUGCUUUCCACUAAAUCCGUGGAAAUAGUUUGUACUGAGAUUUAAAAGUAAAGAUGAUAAAAGAAGUGAACUGAAGGCAGAAUCCACCCCUGCCACCAUCACAUGCAGAUGAUACAAUCUUGAGUCUUGCAUCUCACUUCUUUGGUGUGUGAAGGCAGGCUCAAGUGCUGUGUUGAAGUAUGUAUCUUCUUUUUCUGCCAUGCUCAAGUUUGUGCAAAGGUAACUGGCAUGUCAGUGCUUUUCUCUUCUUGGGAGAUUGAUGCACUACAACAGAACAUAAACCUGUUCUCUUCUCCUGUGCAUGGAAAACUUCAAUGAAAGGUGAACAAAAGGUGUCUGCAAGCAGUUUUGUGACUUUGUAUAUUUUUUCUGCCCACUCACUUACAAAUUAGCCUGUUUUUUUCUCUUUCCCAAUGAAUUUCUGCUUCAUGCAUAGGAGUUUUAGAAAUUACUCUCAAAAAGUCUGCGUUCUUUAUGUUUUACUUUACCAUUUUAUCUGACACCUUGGUUUUACUCUUCCCUACUUUUAGAAAAUAAGCAAACUGAGAAAAAUCAGUUUUCUGACUCUAAAAGUCAAUUUUUUUUGUUGUUUGGAUAAAGCAUGUUUGUUCUAUGAAGAAAAAAAAAGUUAUUUUUUUGCUGCUCUUUUGUAAAGAAGUUGUUAGAGGCCACUGAGAAGCUCUUUAGUACCAAAAAAAAAUUGAUUUUAGUUUAGUGGUUUUAUAAUCAGUAUUUAAUCACUGUUCAACUAUAACAACUAUGGUUUUAUAGAGCACUGUUUUUUCCAGACUUGAAUCUUCUGAUUUUGGGGGUUACCCAUAAUAAAUAGCUAAAUACAUAAUUGUUUGGAAGAGCAUGUUUUUCAUGCCACUGCAGCUGCAUGAAAAGAAAAUCAGUGUUGUGUUUGUCAGAAAAUAUGAAUUCUCUAGUGUUCUCUAACAGUCACAUUCAUCAAAGUCCUUUGUCUAUGAUACCAUCAGUUCUGUGUCUAGUUCUUCCCAUUGGAAGUACAUUUAGCAGCAGGUUUUCAUGUUCAGUCAAAGCUCUUGAAAGUGAAAUUGAUUUCCUGCAGGGCAUUCAUUACAAUGAUGUAACUCCAGGUCAAUUAAAUGGAAGCUGAUGAUGCUACUCCAGAUUUACAUACCUGUAAUGGAGAACACAAUCUGGCUCCAUAUGUGUAUGAAAUCUCAGCUAAUGGAAAGCUGGCAUGGAAGAGACUAAGUUUUGAUGUGACCUUUUAUAAAUUUUCUCAGAGAUUUUUUUUUUUCAAGAAGGUAGAGCACAUGGGUCAAAGUACCAGAAAGUAGUGCUCUUGAUUCCAGAUGGAAUGUGUGUUACUCACAGAUCCAGUUGUCUGUCCUCAAACACUUUUACCUUUGGAGUCUUUCAUCACUCACAUCGAACAACAAGCACCUGUACAUGAAGGAGAUGCAGGACUUUCUCCAACUUGCUUUUAGAGGCAGGACAUCAAUUCAGACAAGAGAGAAAGCUAUCAAGUGCCUCUGCAAUCAAAGAGAUGCUGAGGCUGAAGAGCUGAUCCUCAAAACUAAUCUGUGAUGAAUGGCUUCCUAUUUGGCUACUUUCUACACACUCAACUCCUUCAAAACUAUAUUGUUAUUCAAGAGUUGACAAUCAUGAAUGUUACUCCUAAUUUUUUCUUUCUGGUAUUGAAUUCUUUUCUACAUGCCAAGACAAGUCCUGAGGAAAGAGAGGAAAGAAGCCAAAGGUUUUUCUCCUUUAAUGGCAUUUAUAACAAUAUAUUGAUGAGAUUUUAAAAUAAAUAAAAUUUUUAUUAGUUGUCUUACAGAUAUCUCAUUUGCUAAUCUUUUUUUUCUUGUUGAAUGAACGUCAGUAGUCAAAUGUCUUGCUGAAUGCUUGAUGCACUUUCAAGCUGUGAUUUUGUGUGCUCUUCAUAGCAAUUGCUGGGAAUAAUUAAUUACAUUAGAACCCUGAAUGCUUGUUUUGGAUACUUAUUCAAGCAGCUGGAUUUGUUGGGUGAUGUGAGAGAAGUGAAUAGGUAAAUUUUUUAGUAGAGGAAAGAGGGAAAGAAAAGUAGAUUUCAACUUUAAAACUAUUUAACUAUUUUCUUCUCUUUCGUCUUUUUUUUGUUGCUUGCCUUUUGCUGCUUCAGCUUUUCUGGUGAUUCUCCUCCAUCUGCUUCUGGAGACUCAUGGAAGACCUAUCUUAAAUUUUGGUUUUUAUGAACAAAAUAAUAGAUACAGAUAGUAUUACUUACCAGAAUAUAGGACUGUGAGGAAUUAACUUUAAUUACUGAGUCUAGUCCUCUGUAAAGGGGAACCUAGAUGAUAGACAUUUGCUCCAAGAGGAUAUGCAAGAGUUCAAUUCACAAUGUCCACAGAGUUCUGAUUAAUAACUCUCAGCCUUAUAGAAAACAGCAGUGGGGCAGCUGUAAUAUGCCAUGGAAAACAGUGAGGAACUGGAAUCUUGGUUGAUGUCCUAGAUCCCUACAACAACAAGGGAUUUGCUAGAUGGAUUUCCCAGAUGGUUUCUAGCAGCAUCUUAUUCCCCGCAGAAUGGGGAGUGAAAAAGAACAACUGCCAAUAAUCCCUACCAGUCUGCUUGAGGUUUUGUCUGCCAUAUGUUUCAUCAAAACAUCCUGCUUUGUAUUUCAUCUCUAACAGUGACUGAUUUUGAAUACUUGAAAGAAGCAAUUAAAAAAACAGCAUCCACAUUAGUUAUUGAGGCAGGGAGGAGAUAGUGCUGUAGGUAGGCAUUGAAAGCUGUGAAAUGUUUGUUAUGUUUAUUAAACACAGUCAAAAGGUAGCAAUCAAAAAAUUUAGCAAAAUGCGUGGUAAGGAAUAAGACAUUGAUGGUUACAAAUAUUACAGAAUGGUAUUGCACAAUCAGUAAAAGAUCCUGGAAACUGGUAUUUGAGAACUGUGUAAACAGUCAACAUUUGUGUUUCACUGGGAAAUGAUGAAAGGGUAUAAAAAUAUACAGCCAAAGGUAUAAAUCUGUAACUGAUGUGAGUUUCCAUUUCACCCAUGUAAGUGUGGCAUGGCAUGAAACAUUUUAAUACUGGAUGAAUUCCAUAUGCAUCUCUAGAGUUUUCCCUAAGCUAUUGCUUCUUGGAGCUCACAGUGUUUCUAUGAAAUACUGCAGCUGUUGCUUGGAUCUUGGCGUGGUACAACUGAAUAUUUCCCAUAUAGAUGCUUCGUCUCAUCAGCUGCUUUGGUCAGAUUGUCAUUUUCAGUGUCCCUUCACACCUAUUCUGUCUGUGUACUCCAACUCUUCUCAUUGUGAAUAUGCCUUAAGCUAUCCCCAGAUGUGAUAGGAAAUAAUACAUGCUGUUUUCUUCAUAUACAUGCACACACACACAAUAUAUAUAUACAUAUAUAUUCUCAUAUAUUUUUCUCUUUGUCUGAUGAGAACAGUCAUAUCCAAUGGCUAUGAACCAAAGUAUGGAGUCAUACAGAUGAACCAGGAGCAUACAAAGAGCUCAUGUUGUUAAGGCACCUGCAAUACAAACAUAAACUUUGUCUAGCAGACAAGAGUGUGAUUGUUUUUCAUGUGUGCUUUAAUUAAUAUUGGGAUGAAAUCAAUUAAUAUUGGGGUGUAUCUUGCUUCUGACUCCAUUUUAUAUUUUGGUAGAGGUCAUGGAGUAAUGUGUUUCCUCCUCUUGUGUUUCCCAUGGCAUUUGGGAAUUGUCUGAUUCCACCAGGAAGAUCCCUUGCAGAACUAUUCAGAAUUUCUUCCCUAGAUCUUCUACUAUUGAGCUCCUGGGCUGCCCUCUCAGGAUUAGUAAAAGAAAAACAGGGAAAGGUGAGUUGAUUUCCUUAGAGGUUACCAUGAAUGGCCCCAACAUAGUCUGUCCUCAGUCCACAACGUCAUAGUAUGAGCUCUGUACUGGUGCUCAAAAGGACACAUGGAUAUUCUUUAGGCCAUUUUACUUAAUCAGUGAUAUAUGUUUUUUUUGGAUGCCUCUGAAUGAAUUUAUCCUUGUCUCACUUUGUACAGUUAGUCAUAUGCUCUUAAAAAAUCUUUUGCAGAUGGAGCCCCGUGGGACUGGACCUGUUUCAAAAGCUGUAUUAAAUGACUGAAAUAAAGGUUUUGAAAAUUC